rfam:Gossypium raimondii Chr06_contig_349, whole genome shotgun sequence.
AAACCAUUGCAUCAGGCAUUUUCUAAUUAGUUCCUUGAAACGCUCCCAUGCUUCAUAUAAUGUCUCACCUUCAGAUUGCGUAAAUGAUGUAAUGUUGUUCCUAAGCUU